ensembl:lncRNA
GUUGGCUUGAAUCGCACCAUCACUGCCUUGUCAUUGAAGGAGGAGGCGGACAUAGUCCAGCUAUAUACAGCUCUCCAUGACAUGGACAAGAAGCAUUCAAGCUACACCCAGAAGGCUAGAAAGAAAGGACAGGCAUCAGGAGGACCAUGGAGAGCACCGAGGAGGCCGAGUGGCUCUGCUCCUGGACAGCAGGCGGCAGAGAGACUAUACAUGACUCACGGCCAAGCAGCCCAGGAUCCAGAACACGACUGGGUCAGUGAGUGUGUCUGCCUCAGACUGGCCAAGGAGUUCGAGCAGUCCCGCAACAGGCCCAAGGACACGAGGGGGAAAACCCUGCCCAUCCCUCAGUCAAUUGUGAGCAUUUACAGCCACAUUAGACAGCUGCUGGAGGACAGCAGGGUUAUCGUGGUCCAGACGGCGCUGGCUCUGGAACAACACCACGAUCUCUGCAUGUAAUGGCAACAUAGAUGAAGCUCGAACCAUUGAGGAGGCACGCUACGCUGUUUGCUAUUCACGGUUUCAGAAAGGUGGCUGGGUAGUCCGCCCCAUCAAGGAGAAACCAUCUUACGGAUAUGCAACAAAUCUUAUGGUCUCUCUGGUAGAGGAAUACUCUAGAUCACCACAGGCCCUACAAGAAAGCAGUGCUGUCUUGUCUUGUGCUGCCCGGCCCCCCCUCACCACUUCCCUCCAGAAGGUUGCCAAGGAUGAGGCAGUCAGGCUCCAUCUCGCACGACACUCGCGUUUUAACGUGUAAUUAAACAUACGUGAAAGAAAUUGGGAGAAAACGGGUAUCGGUACUCUUUAGUUUGUUUAUUAGUUACAAUGGAACUGAGUUGAUGGUAUAGUGUAUGAUGACAACAUCAGUGAAUGAGAUGAUGAGAAUAUAUUUUGGGACUGUUUAUUAUGCUACCUUUCUUCUUUUUUAACGACUCCAGUGUGUGAGUGCAUUGAAUUUCCC